rnacentral:rRNA from 1 species
CUCUCACAAGCACUGUGGACAGUGGCCUUGCUCACUCUGGCCAUCGAUAUUGGCACUGCGCUCUACAAGCCGGCCAGAGGCAUGCUGUUCGGCCACAACAAGCUCGCCUAUUACCUCACCCUCAUCGGCAUUUUCUUUUCUGGAAUAGCGGAGGCUCUGAUCGCCGUUUGGCUGUCCCACUCUCACGAGGUUGACAAACGUUGUUUCUUGAUCGGGAGGGUUGUCCUAUGUGCCUCCAUCGUGCCAUUUGUUGCCAUCAUCGGCAUAGGAGGUUUCUCUUUCAUGGAGGGCUAA